CGGCCCUUUAUAUCCAUUUUAUAUUGAUUGUUGUGCUACUUUUUAGGGAGUCAUACUAGAUAUCUUGCUGACUUUUAGGAAACUUGAUAGUCAUAAUUAGUAGAUAUUAAUUUUAUAAGAUAGUUCUAGAUGUGUAUAUACGUAUCUUUGAAUUUCUAAAACGGAACAUAAUUUUUAUCUCAGACUCCCACUCUGUGUCAUGCAGAAAAAUUAUCUGGUAACUACCAGAGAGAUUAGUUCACACUCACAUGCUCUCCCUUGCUCCUUUAGAUGGAAUCUCAGUGGUAGGGGAAUGAGAGAGGGGGACCCAUGUAACACCAUAUCCUCUCAGUUGGUAGCUCCCAAGAUGAGUAACUGCCCCCUCCUGUCUUUGAUCAUGGGGUCCCUCAGCACUGGCACCCAGAGCUAUCCUCUAAGGUGGCUGCAUGCCCAUCUGGGUUGCUCAGCUCAUGUUACCAUCCGUGGUUGGUCCUCCAUGGCAUGAUUCCUUUGGGCUGCUGGCUGUCAUUCUCAGCUAACUUCUCUUCCUCCUCAGGAUAUGAGGAGGGUCCAGCUACUCUCCCACACCUUUUUGGGGCUACAGGAAAUAAGGUUCUCAUUGAGUUCUCUUCCACCAUCACCUGCACAGCCAUCUUUCCUCUGCUGAUCCCAUCUCACUGUGGCAUAUGCAUAUCUGUGGUGUUAGCUGCCUUCUCUAGAUAGGAAGUAGACACAGCCGCCCCUGUUCUCGGGUUCCUUAAACCUUAUCUGGUGUUCUACCCUCAACUGUAGUUCCCUCCUUUCUGAGGGGAUUCACCCUGGGAAGAUGUCAUGGGGCUGGAGCCUCCCUUGGAGACCACACAAGCCUACAGCCCAGGUAACCCUACUAGAGUGCCUGAGGACUGGUUAUCUUGGAUGGAGAAGAGGGAGGGAGUUCUUUUGGACUAGUCUUAUUUGUCUACUGGUCAGGCCCAUAUAGUUCCCGAAUGCUCAGAAAGUCUUUUCUCCCAUGUCUAAGUCUUAUGUUCAGUAACCUUGUUUGAUCUCAAAAACUAAGCACCAACUCUCUUUUUCCUUGCGUUCCAGCUUUAGGGGUCCCACUUUUCCCUAGGCCCAAGCAUGCCUGGAGGAGAGGGCAGUGAAAUGUGCAGUGUUGAUGGUGGCAGGAAAGACCUGGUUAAUGUCUCAAAAUGUCCUUCUGCUGUACUGGCAAUGGCCGUGUCACUGUGCUAAGCGCCUUAGACCCAUGUGAUCCUCAGAACCAUCCCUGGAACUGAGUACGACCAUUUUUGUUUCCAAAUGAAGAGAUGGAAGGUUGGAGAGAUGAUAGGUAACUUGUUCCAAGAUUCCAGUUACAAGUGAAGGAGAAAGAAUUGAACCUAGGGUAAUCUAAUUCCGAAGUCUUCACUUUAAAUCCCAACAGUGGUCUCAUUACCUUGGCGAACAACUGACUCUCCAGGAAGUUUGUUAGAAACAAUUUUGAUAACGACCCACCUCAGGAGAUCCUGAUCCAAUUGGUCGGCAGUGGGGCCCGGUCGUCUGUGUUUUGAACGAUCUCUGUAGGUAGUUCAGAUGCACACCAAAGUUUGAGAACCAGCUCUGGCACUUGUUAAUUGGUUGAUUUAGGACAAAUUACUUCACCUCCCAGUGCCUCAGUUUCCUCAUUUGUUAAAUGCAGGAUGAUAACAGUACCCACGCCACUGAGUUAUUGUGGGAAUUAAAUGAGUUUAAAAUGAAAGCACUAGGAAGAGUACACGGCACCUAAUAAGAGCUCAAUAAGCAUUAAAGAUGAUUACUUUUACUGCCUCUUAGCAGCAACUCACUUAGAAAACACUUUUUAGGAGUGCUAUUUCCUGGAUAGAUUACAUAAAAGGGUAAUUGCCUGUAUUUACAUAGACUUUUGAUAGUUUGUGUCUCAGAGAGUGACUUUUUUUUUUUUUUUUUAGCCCUUUUCCCCAAAUCUAGGCCUAAUUUGGAUCCCAUGGUCUCCUGUGGUCCUAACCAUCUAGAAGUCAUGUUAUGAAGGGUCCUGCCAAGAAGAGAUGAGGUAAAAUGGUAACAGCUGCUAUUGCCCUACUGUGUCUUCCCUCCAAAUCUGUCAACAACGUGAACUUCUCAGCGGCCUCUUUAUACCAGGCAUUGUGCUUCAAGACUCAGCUCUGGCCCUUAAGAAGCUUAGGUUCCCGCUGAAGAGACAGGAUGUGUACACACGAAAAGAUAACAGCUUGAGACCAUGCCAAAUGAACCAGAGAUGACAAAGGUUAAAGGAGUGUGCAGUUAUCCAAUAAGUGCAUAUUGAGCUCCUAUAACAUGCUAUAUUUUAUUGUAACAAUGAGGGGAAACCAGAGAACCAAACAGAUACAGCCCCUGGCUUCAUGGAUCUUAGGUUCUAACGAAACCAUUCAGAGUAUAAACAAAUACAUACAUAAUACAUCAACUUGGGACAAGUGCUUUGAAGGAAGGUGAAGCAGAGUAAGGUGACUGUUUGGAUAGGGAGUCAGGGAAGGCCUCUGGGAUAAGGUGGCAUUUGAGUGAAAACCUGAAGAGAGAGAGCAAGUCAUCAGAACAUCUGGAAGAAUUUUCCAAGCAAGCUGAAUAGCAAGUGCAAAGGCCCUGAGGAGGCAGUGUGCUUGGUGUGUUCUAAGAAGAACAAGUAGGCCAGCAUGGCUGGAGGGUAGGGAGCAAGAGGGCCUGGGCGGGAUAUAAGGUUAGAGAGGUGACAGGGAUGGAUCAGGAACGCUUGGCAGGCUGUGGUAAAGACUUCGGAUUUUAUUCUGAAGCCACUGGAGGGUUUUGAGCAGAUCAGUGACAUGAUCUGACCUACAUAUUGGAAGGAUAGCUCUGUGUGAGGACAGACUCUAGGGGUGCAAGAGGAGAAGUCUGAGGCCAGAGAGGUGGCUACUACAAGAAUUCAGGGCUGAAAUGAUGGUAGCUUGGACCAGGGUGAUAGGACUGAGGGUGGCGAGACCAGGUGGGAUUCUGAAUGUAUUUUGAAGAUAAACAAGACAGUUAAGGUAUAGGGUUAUGAAUAAAGAGAGAAAUUAGGGAUGACUCCAAAGUUUCUGGCCCGAACUCAAGGUUUUACCUUCACAGGAGGAAGUGGCUACUUUCGGUUAAGAUAAUCAGAGAAGGAUUAAUGAAAGACUCAAGAUUUGAGCUGUAGUUUGAAAAACUAGUAGGGUUUUGUGGCUUGUAAAAAUUCUCAGUGGAUUGUGCUGAGACCGUUUUGUCUUCCUGAACCCCAUCCCCCCACCCCAAACCCCUCCUUUGUUAAGUUUCAGAAGCCUCUAUUCUGGGGAGCAGGGAUUCACCCAGCCCAAGGGAGACACAUCUUGAUUCUUUAGGCCAAUCACGGAAAUUCCUUGCUCUUGCCAGUAAUUGGCAAGAAGUGGGCUGAUUUCAGAAUGGGCGUGUACUACAAUUCUGGACAAUGAAAUGCAGAAGGGAACUCUGCAGAAGACACUUCUGGGAAAUUCCCUAAGUCUGAGAUGCUCCUUAUUUGAGAUGUUGCAUAAGGAUAAAGUUCUUGAGCUGCCAUCGCCACCUUACAAACAUAAAGCUGGAAACUGAGGCCAACAGCCUGCAUGUUGAGGGUGACAGAGGAGAAAGGUUGGAAACAGCACAGUUCCUUGAAGACAUGCUGAGCCACUGAGUUACCCAACCCUGGAAUUGCACCACUUCUGGACUUCUUAUUAUGUGAGAUGUAAAAAAAAAAAAAAA